rnacentral:pre_miRNA from 1 species
GUGGGGAGGCCGGAUCCUGGGCUGUGUCCCAGCGCCCUGUGCUCUGGGGCCUGCGUUGUUGGAUUAGCGCUCCUGGCCGCACAGACCCCU